CAAUAGCGUAUAUUAAAGUUGUUGCGGUUAAAAAGCUCGUAGUUGGAUUUCUGCUGAGAACGACCGGUCCGCCCUUUGGGUGUGUAUCUGGCUCUUUCUUGGCAUCUUCUUGGUGAACGUUGCUGCACUUGACUGUGUGGAGCGCUACCCAGGACUUUUACUUUGAGGAAAUUAGAGUGUUUCAAGCAGGCAUACGCCUUGAAUACAUUAGCAUGGAAUAAUAAGAUAGGACCUCGGUUCUAUUUUGUUGGUUUCUAGAGCUGAGGUAAUGAUUAAUAGGGAUAGUUGGGGGCAUUCGUAUUUAACUGCCAGAGGUGAAAUUCUUGGAUUUGUUAAAGACGGACUACUGCGAAAGCAUUUGCCAAGGAUGUUUUCAUUG
rnacentral:rRNA from 1 species